CAGAUUAAGGCGCUGGGUGCAGCGUCUCUGCACACGGCUCCCCCACGCCAUCUUGAACAGAGUGUUGGGGGCGGAGCCUUUGCCGUCGUCGCCACCAUUUUGCACCAGGCAUCCUGUUGGGAAGAGCUGGAGGGAAACCUUUGCACCAGGUGCCUUGGGAACUAGGGAGCUAGACUCAGCGCAGUGAAAACAAGGGGACUGGAAUGCAAAAGUAGGAAGUCAAGAAACACCUGGAGUAACAGGCAAAUUUGGCCUUGGAGUAUGGAAUGAAGCAGGACAAAGACUAAUAGAGUUUUGCCAAGAGAAUGCAUGGGUCGUAGCAAACACCCUCUUCCAACAACACAAGAGAAGACUCUACACAUGGACAUCACCAGAUGGUCAACACUGAAAUCAGACUGAUUAUAUUCUUUGCAGCCAAAGAAUCGUAGAAGCUCUAUACAGUCAGCAAAAACAAGACCAGGAGCUGACUGUGGCUCAGAUCAUGAACUCCUUAUUGCCAAAUUUAGACUUAAAUUGAAGAUAGUAGGGAAAACCACUAGACCAUUGAGGUAUGACCUAAAUCAAAUCCCUUAUGUUUAUACAGUGAAAGUGAGAAAUAGAUUUAAGAGACUAGAUCUGGUAGAGUGCCUGAUGAACUACGGACGGAGGUUCAUGACAUUGUACAGGAGACAGGGAUCAAGACCAUCCCCAAGAAAAAGAAAUGCAAAAAAGCAAAAUGGCUGUCUGAGGAGGCUUUACAAAUAGCUUUGAAAAGAAGAGAAGCGAAAAGCAAAAGAAAAAAGGAAAGAUACAAGCAUCUGAAUGCAGAGUUCCAAAGAAUAGCAAGGAGAGAUAAGAAAGCCUUCCUCAGUGAUCAGUGCAAAGAAACAGAGGAAAACAACAGAAUGGGGAAGACUGGAGAUCUUUUCAAGAAAAUUAGAGAUACCAAGGGAACAUUUCAUGUAAACAUGGGCACAAUAAAGGACAGAAAUGGUAUGGACCUAGAAGAUGCAGAAGAUAUUAAGAAGAGGUGGCAAGAAUACACAGAACUGUACAAAAAAGAUCUUCGCGACCAAGAUAAUCACGAUGGUGUGGUCACUCACCUAGAGCCAGACAUCCUGGAAUGUGAAGUCAAGUGGGCCUUAGAAAGCAUCACUACGAACAAAGCUAGUGGAGGUGAUGAAAUUCCAGUUGAGCUAUUUCAAAUCCUAAAAGAUGAUGCUGGGAAAGUGCUGCACUCAAUAUGCCAGCAAAUUUGGAAAACUCAGCAGUGGCCACAGGACUGGAAAAAGUCAGUUUUCAUUCCAAUCCCAAAGAAAGGCAAUGCCAAAGAAUGCUCAAACUACCACACAAUUGCACUCAUCUCACAUGCUAGUAAAGUAAUGCUCAAAAUUCUCCAAGUCAGGCUUCAGCAGUACAUGAACCGUGAACUUCCUGAUGUUCAAGCUGGUUUUAGAAAAGGCAGAGGAACCAGAGAUCAAAUUGCCAACAUCUGCUGGAUCAUGGAAAAAGCAAGAGAGUUCCAGAAAAACAUUUCUGCUUUGACUAUGCCAAAGCCUUUGACUGUGUGGAUCACAAUAAACUGUGGGAAAUUCUGAAAGAGAUGGGAAUCCCAGACCACCUGACCUGCCUCUUGAGAAAUCUGUAUGCAGGUCAGAAAGCAGCAGUUAGAACUGGACAUGGAACAACAGACUGGUUCCAAAUAGGAAAAGGAGUACGUCAAGGCUGUAUAUUGUCACCCUGAUUAUUUAACUUCUAUGCAGAGUAUAUAAUGAGAAAUGUUGGGCUGAAGGAAGCACAAGCUGGAAUGAAGAUUGCCGGGAGAAAUAUCAAUAACCUCAGAUAUGCAAAUGACACCACCCUUAUCGCAGAAAGUGAAGAGGAACUAAAAAGCCUCUUGAUGAAAGUGAAAGAGGAGAGUGAAAAAGUUGGCCUAAAGCUCAACAUUCAGAAAACUAAGAUCAUGGCAUCCAGUCCCAUCACUUCAUGGGAAAUAGAUGGGAAACAGUGGAAACAGUGGCAUACUUUAUUGUGGGGGGCUCCAAAAUCACUCCAGAUGUUAUUGCAGCUAUGAAAUUAAAAGACGCUUACUCCUUGGAAGGAAAGUUAUGACCAACCUAGAUAGCAUAUUGAAAAGCAGAGACGUUACUUUGCCAACAAAGGUCUGUCUAGUCAAGGCUACGGUUUCUACAGUGGUCAUGUAUGGAUGUGAGAGUUGGACUGUGAAGAAAGGUGAGCGCCGAAGAAUUGAUGCUUUUGAACUGUGGUGGUGGAGAAGACUCUUGAAAGUCCCUUGGACUGCAAGGAGAUCCAACCAGUCCAUUCUAAAGGAGAUCAGUCCUGGGUGAUCAUUGGAAGGAUUGAUGCUGAAGCUCAAACUCCAAUACUUUGGCUACCUCGUGUGAAGAGCUGACUCAUUGGGAAAGACCCUGAUGUUGGGAAGGGUUGGGGGCAGGAGAAGGGGACAACAGAGGUUGAGAUGGCUGGAUGGCAUCACUGACUCGAUGGACAUGAGUUUGAGUGAACUCUGGGAGUUGUUGAUAGACAGGGAGGCCUGGCAUGCUGCAAUUCAUGGGGUCACAAAGAGUUGGACACAACUGAGCGACUGAACUGAACUGAACUGAUGUGUCAGUGCAAUCAACUGUCAC
ensembl:lncRNA